CUGCGAACGCUUUUUCCUCCUCGCCGCACUCUCUUUCUCUUCCUUAUCCAUUCUUCCUACCUCACCCGCACCACUCCUCCUCAGCCCCGAUAGCUAAGGCACCGCCGCUCGCCGGAGCUCCCCUCAAGCUCCCAAGCCAGGGCCGCCGGCCCUCUACAUCGUCGCCGGAUUUUCGGCGCCUCCCCAACUCUCCACCGCGAACAGAUCUGCAUCCCGUGCGCCAUCGCCAGCCCAAGCGGCGGCGCCCUGCCGCGAGGACCAGAGGGCGACUCCGCACCCACCUGAGGAAAGCUGCUGCUGGCCGGCAGUGAGGCUGACCCGCACAUAUCCCGUGCGCCUUCGCUGGCCCAUGUCCGGGGAGGCGAGCUUCGCGUCGGCCCAAGCAGCGGCCCCCAGCGUGAGGCCCGGCGGGCGAGGAUGCGCCGACCUGAGCAAAGCUGCUGCUGGCCGGCGG
rnacentral:lncRNA from 1 species